rnacentral:lncRNA from 9 species
UUUUUUUUUUUCUUUUUUGGUUCAAUAACAGAGAUUGGCAUAUGCAGUUUGAGCUAUUGCCAAUUUUAUGUUGUGGCAAUUGUUUCAUCUAAGUUCAGUGUGUCCCACCCCCUCCCCGGGGAAAGAUUUUGCAGUUUCAGAGGAUACCAACACAUGGUGAUCCCUUGGUCAGGCUUAAUCCAAAUUAACAAUAAGAUAGAAAUUUUUAAUAAGGUUUUUCUUUAUCGCAACAGGAAGGAUUAAGAUGGGGGGUGGGGAAUGUCGGGUCACCCUGUUUCCUAGAGCAGGCUGGUGGGCUGGUGUUCAGAGGACCCAGGAUUUGGAGGAUCCAGAUGGGGCUGAAACACAAACAGCAGGGAGAUAAGCUUGAAAGGUGGGGAUGGGGACAGUUUAUGAAUGGCCUUGAACAUGAUAGAAAUGCAGUUAAAUUACAACCGCUAUUGAGGAAAGACCCCCCUUUCCCAUGCUUUCACCACUCUGCCUGCCCACCCUCGCCCCACCACCCGCAGUUUCCUGACUCCUGGAAAUAAGCAAUAGCCUGAGGUCAAGUCUGCGUGAGUCACAGAGUGUGCUGCUCCCCUACUGGGAGCUGUGCCUUUGGGGCCGGCACACUGUGGUCUGCUUCCUCCCUUGCCCACCUGCCUCAGUGCAGACACUGACCACGGUUAGGAAGGGGCAGUGAGCAGCUGGGCACACCCCAGGCAUUUCUGGGUGUCAGGUUGAAACACAGUUAUAACAUCCUAACCCUCUCACUCUUCUCCCUAGCAUAUCUUUGACCUCAAGCAAAUCAUUUCAACUUUCUGAAGGUCCAUUUUCUCAUGUGCAAAAUGACAAUUAGAGCUGGUGAGAAUUCAUAGAAGUAACUGAUGUCACGAGUGCUCUCUCUGAGUCAGGCAGGCUUCUAAGUGCUUCGCAGAAAUGGGCUCCCCCCUCGAACAACCAGGUAGGUGCUACUAUGACUCUCUUUGUAGAGAAUGAAACAGAAGCCUAGAGGGGUUGAUGACUUGUUCAAGAUUUCAUAGUUAAUACUGGGUAGACUUGAGAUUAAAAACAGAGACUCUACAUUUUAGAUAACCCCCUUUCUGCCCUCCACCUCCACCACACACACACACACACACACACACACACACACACACACACACACACACACACUCUACCUCGUGUUAUUUAACAUAAGCAUCUGACGUUUUUUAAAACAAUGCCUAGAACAAGCAGGCUCCUUAGCUGGGAAACCUUCAGAAGGGCCAUACCAGAGGGCUUGGUGUAGAGGUGACAUGAUUCCAUUUCUCCUUUAGAAAUAUUUAGCUUGGAGUUCCCGUCGUGGCACAGUGGUUAACGAAUCUGACUAGGAACCAUGAGGUUGCGGGUUCGAUCCCUGGCCUUGCUCAGUGGGUUAAGGAUCUGGCGUGGCCGUGAGCUGUGGUGUAGGUUGCAGACGUGGCUCGGAUCCUGCGUUGCUGUGGCUGUGGUGUAGGCCAGUGGCUACAGCUCCGAUAGACCCCUAGCCUGGGAACUUCCAUAUGCCGCAGGAGCAGCCCUAGAAAAGGCAAAAAGACAAAAAGACAAAAAAAAAAAAAAAAUUUAGUUUGUAAUACCUCUGCUCUCCCAGAGGCAGGCCUGAAUCACCCUCCUUAGGGUGUGGGAAAUUAGAAUAAAAAAUUGCAAUGUCAGACCACAGAGUGUAGAACAGGAAGAGCCUUUCCUGCCAGCUGCCCCAGCCCACCCUUACCCAGGUGGGGAAAUGAGGUGCGGGGGGAGGACCCUGAGCAAGGCGGCACGAGGUCCCAUCCCGGGCUCUCACCAAAGUUCAGUCCAACUUUCUUCGCCCUCAGGCCUCCUGCUGUGUGGCCUCCUCAGCACUUGGGAAAAGAGUUAAAAGUAUAAUCCAACCAGAACAACCACCAUGUUCACAUGAUGUCAAAGAGCCCACAGACACACAUGCCCACGGUCUGACCUCCUUCUGCCCUCUCAGAUUUCUCUGGAAAUAACAGACUCCCCUUAGCCUUUUCUGUUCCAAGCAGAGUGACUGUUGGCCUUUCCCGGGAACAGAGGUGCACACGGACCCCUUCUUCUGACUGUCAGCAUAAGAAAAACAUUUGAAAUGGGGCUGGAGGCAGGGGGGUCGCAAGGCUUCUGUUCUUCUUCGGAUGUUUUUGACCCCUGCUCUCACCCACUGCAUACUCAUUUGCAGCCUCAUUCUCCCUCCUCUUUCCCUCCCCAGCCAUCGCUACAAGUGUCUGGGCUUUGCAAAGCACCAAUUUCAAUUCAGAUCAUAACUCUGCCACCGAAGAUUUGGGAAGCCAUUGUUGAGCAAGUCACUAAGUUACUUAAUUUACCUGAGCUUCCAUUUCCAACUCUUUAAAAUGGGGUAGUUCUAUCUUCCUCAAAGAGCUGUAGCAAAUAUUAAAUGGAGAGCAGAAACAAAGGGCACUAUGGGUAAAAUCUCUGUAAAGGAUUCCCCUUCCUUUUUUUAUGACAAUUGCUAGUAGUCUGUCUUCUAGAUCAAAGCAGAGAAAUAGAGAAAUAAAAUGCUAUUUUAGGAGGUCCUGGUGUGGCACAGUGGGUUAAGAAUUCAACUGCAGCAUCUUAGUUCACUGUAGAGCUUGUGGGUUCCAUUCCCCAGUCCAAUGCAGUAGGUUACAGGAUCCAGCACUGCCACAACUGUGGCUUAGAUUCAAUCCCUGGUCUUCCAUAUGCUGCAGAUGUGGCCAUAAACUCUUUUUUGUUGUUGUUUUUUAGGGCUGCACCCGCAACAUAUGGAAGUUUCCAGGCAAGGGGUCAAAUCAGAGCUACAGCUGCCAACAUACACCACAGCCACGGCAACGUGGGAUCUGAGCCAAGUCUGCAACCUAUGCCACAAGUCACAGCAAUGCUGGAUCCUCAACCCGCUGAGUGAGGCCAGGGAUCGAACCCACAUCUUCAUGGAUACUAGUCGGGUUCAUUACCACUGAGCCAUGAUGGGAGCUCCCAUAAAUUUUUUUUAAAGCUAUCUUAUAUUUUUAUGGCACUUGAAGUUGACACACCACUUGUGCCUAACAUUGUUGCUUUUGAUUUAAUAUAUGGAUAUAUUAGUGAAAUUUCAUUCCUCAAGUAUUCAUUAAAAUUUAAGAGCAUUAACUUCUUCGCGGUGCAAUAAGAACUGGUACUUCAAAUUUUUAGAAAGAGUCAUUUAUUAUGACCUAUAUUGUUAUUAUCAUCAAAAACCAGGCACUUUGAUAUGUGCUAAGGACAAGGAGGUACAUAAGACAAGAUUCUGUCCCCAGGAAGCACAGAACCAUCUUAUUGACCAGAUUUAACAGUGAAUGAAAGAGGCUCAGAAAAUUCAUUGACUUGCCAAUGUUGUCAGUUGAUAUGUGACAGGACAGGGCUCAAACUCAACUCAAAUCUUGUCCCUCCAAUUCCCAUAUUCCUUACACUGUGUUAUCAGAUAAUGCUAUUUUACUCUACUCUCUUCCAAAGUGACCGUAUCCUCGACUUUGACUGUUAUUGCUAAGCUCUUUCUAUGACUUCUACUCAAAGAUGCUCCUUGGGUUUCAAGUAUGGGGGAUAAGGAGGAAGAGGGUGUUAAAAUUUAUAUAUAUAUAUAUAGAGAGAGAGAGAGAGAGAGAGAAGGAGGGAGAGGGAGAAAAGACAGAGAGACAGAAAACUUGUCCUUUACCAGGCACCAAACUAGAGAUGCUUUUACCUGAUAAUUUUCACAUCUCAUUUGCUUUGAAUAUUACUGCCCUCAUUAUUGUGCCACAGACUAAGUCUAACAAGAAAAUACACCCUUCCCAAGCAACUGGUAGACCUAGGAUUCAGGCCCUCUCAGUCACAGCUCCUAAUUUUUUUGUUUUUUUGCACUUGCGGCAUAUGGAAGUUCUCAGGCUAGGGGUCGAAUCCAAGCUGCAGCUGCUGGCCUACACCACAGCCACAGCAAUGUAGGAUCUAAGCCGUGUCUGCCACCUACACCGCAGUCAUAGCAAUGCCAGAUCCUUAACCCACUGAGCAAGGCCAGGGAUCAACCCCAGGUCCUCUUGAAUCCUAGUCGGGUUCGUUACCACUGAGCCAGGGCAGGAACUCCUGCAGCUCCUAAUCUUAAUCUUUGUAUAAACUACAUUCAAACAAUGUCAGGGCAGUUACUGGAGUUAUCUUUCUUCCUGGCUCAAUAGGCCUGAUGGCUGGAGUUUCAUGGGGAUUUCAGAUUUGCUGUGUUCAACCCUUUUUCUUGUACUUCCUGAGCAGUUUCUAUGUGCCAGACACUGUGCUGGGGAUUCAGAGAUAUGUACGAUACUGUCUUGGCCCUCAGAGAGAGCCAUACAAAGACAAAUAGUGCUAGAAGAUGGGAAAAUGAAGGUGCAUUCAAAAUGAGUCUCAAAGCUGCGUUGGUUAGAAUGGUGUCAUACUUGUGACACAAGAAGAAAGGUUAUUUGGGGACUAGGCACUGAAUGCUCAGUGCUCACUGAGUGUACAAAAGGGCUGGGGUGAAAUCCAGAUGACCAAAUGGAAAGGCCAGCACCUGGAAGGUGGUCUCUGCUCUACUAACCACACUUACAAUGCUUCCCCCAUGCGUCUUAGUCUCCAAUGUGUACUGAGGACCAAUUAUAAGUUUGGUACAAGAUUUACAACUAUAAAUCUCAUGGGAUGGAAAAACACAGCACAAAGUAAGAAUCCAAACAAGCCAACAUGAAGAGUACAAACCAAUGAGUCAAAGAGGCAAACUGGACUCGUGCUCAUGUAGGACACGGGGCUACACCUCAAAAAGCAACUUUAUAGAUGUCUCUCAUUGUCCUUCCAACCUCUUGACAGGGGUAGUCCUUGCUACAUUCCUAUAUAAAAGUGGAGGUAGGCCCCCUGAUUCCUUGUUCACCUUUAGAUAAUCAAAAGUUUGGUGUAGUCAGUCUCGAUUCACAAGAGGCCAUGUAAAAACCAAAGCCUCCAAGUUCAUUUAAGAUGAGUACUUCUUCCUCUUCCAGCUCUGGCCUACUGCGGUCCAGGGGAGGUUUAUAGACUGUGUCUUCCUCAUCUCACAGCCCAGCUCUUCCUCCCACAACUUGCUAACUCUGGUCUGUGAGUGCAUUCUGGAGCUGGACUGGUAGAGGGACAAAGUGAGAAGAGAAAAGGGUAAUGGGCAAGACAGGAGGGUUUCCUUCAUGAGAAUCAUCCUAAACUAGUAUUUGUUCUCUGGUCCUGGCACCUGAUUAAAGAUGAUUAAUUUGAAAAGAUACAUGCAUCCCAACAUUCACAGCAGCAUUAUUUACAAUAGCUAAGACAUGGAAACAACAUAAUUGUCUACCAACAGAUGAUGGAUAAAGAAGGUGUGGUACAUAUAUACAAUGGAACACUACUCAACCAUAAAAAAAGAAUGAAAUAAUGGCUUCUACAACAACAUGGAUGAACUUGGAGGGUGUUAUACUUAACUGAAAGUCGUCAGGCAGAGAAAAACAAAUACAGUACAAUAUCACUUAUAUAUGGAAUCUAAAAAAUACAACAAAUAACAAAAAAGAGACAGACCCACGGAUAUAGAGAACAAACUAUUAGUUACUAGUGGGGAGUGGGAAGGGUGGAGAGGCAACAUAAGGGUGGAGGAUUAAGAGGUACAAAAUAAGCUACCAGGAUGGAUUGUACAACACAGGGAGUAUAGCCAAUGUUUUAUAAUAUCUAUAAUUGGAGUAUAGGUAUUAUACUUUAAAAAUUGUGAAUCACUAUCCUGUACACCUAUAACUUGUAUAGCAUUGUACAUCAACUAUAAUUUAAUUUUUUAAGAUGAUUAAAGUUGGAAAAGGGUACAGGAUUUGUGGCCUCCGCAAAGGUGUUCACUGAAAGCAUUUAAUGACACUUCCGGGGAGUGAGUGAUGAGUCUCCUGUAAGCUGGCUUCUCCUCCCGAUGCCCAGUCCCCCUUUCCUGGCAGUCUGGUUCACAUAGCCUCUCUAUUUAGUUAUCCUUUCCCUGGAGGUUGCUUGAGUACAAUUUCAGGGGCUCUAGGCCUGCCCUCUCUUCCACAUGGUGCAUGUCUGUUCUUCAGGAAGUACACAAAUCUUUGACCUGACAGAUUCUGGGAGGCAGGCUUCUCCAGUGCCUCCACCGCCCCUUCCUUUCAGCCAUGGGUAGCUUGCCAGGCUGCCUCUGCUGCCAACUCUCCCAGGCAGGAGGCAAUCAGCCCUCCGAGUCACCCUCACGUCAGAGAACCUUUACCAGCCUCUCCAAGGGGCCCCAUGGAGGCCCUCCCAGUUGUCUUGAAGGAACAGGGAUGUGCCCUCACCCUACCCCUUCCCUGGGGGUGUGGGAUUCAAAGCACACUUCACAUCAAAGAUAUCUUCCUCUCAAAUCCUCUUUUUUCUUUUUUUAAAAUUAUUUUUCAUUGGAAUGUAGUUGGCUUACAGUGUUGUGUCAAUCUCUACUAUACAGCAUGGUGACCCAGUCAUACAUACAUAUAUACAUUCUUCUUCUCAUAGUAUUUUCCAUCAUGUUCUACCCAAAGAGACUGAAUAUAUUUCCCUGUGCUGUAUGGUAGGACCUCAUUGUUUAUCCAUUCUAAAUGUAAUAGUUUGCAUCUACCAACCCCAAAGUCCCUGUCCAUCCCACUUCCUCUCCCCUUUCUCCCUGGAACCCACAAGUCUGCUAUCCCUAUCUCAUCUUUAAACUUCCAAUUUCUUUCUUUCUUUCUUUUUUUUUUUUUUCUCGGUCUUUUUGUCUUUUCCAGGGCCGCAUCUGUGGCAUAUGGAGGUUCCCAGGCUAGGGGUCAAAUCGGAGCUGUAGCUCCUAGCCUACGCCACAGCCACAGCAACACAGGAUCCAAGCUGCAUCUGUGACCUACACCACAACUCACAGGCAACACGAGAUCCAUAGCCUAUUGAGGGAGCUCAGCAAUCGAACCUGCAACCUCAUGGUUCCUAGUCAGAUUCGUUAACCACUGAGCCAUGACGGGAACUCCUUUUUUUUUUUUUUUUUCCAAUUUCUUGACUUAUCUCCGAUAUUUUAUGUCCUCAAUGUAGAUGUAGAAUCCAAGAGCCACAGGAUCAGUUGG